GCGUGAGUGAGGAAGGCUUUCGGGUCGUAAAGCUCUGUUGCCAGGGAAGAAUAAGGAUCAUUUAACUGAUGAUCCGAUGACGGUACCUGAGAAGAAAGCCCCGGCUAACUACGUGCCAGCAGCCGCGGUAAUACGUAGGGGGCAAGCGUUGUCCGGAAUUAUUGGGCGUAAAGCGCGCGCAGGCGGCUCUUUAAGUCUGGUGUUUAAGUGCGGGGCUCAACCCCGUGACGCACUGGAAACUGGGGAGCUUGAGUGCAGAAGAGGAGAGCGGAAUUCCACGUGUAGCGGUGAAAUGCGUAGAGAUGUGGAGGAACACCAGUGGCGAAGGCGGCUCUCUGGACUGUAACUGACGCUGAGGCGCGAAAGCGUGGGGAGCAAACAGGAUUAGAUACCCUGGUAGUCCACGCCGUAAACGAUGAGUGCUAGGUGUUGGGGGUAUCAUGCCCUCGGUGCCGAAGUUAACACAUUAAGCACUCCGCCUGGGGAGUACG
rnacentral:rRNA from 1 species